rnacentral:rRNA from 1 species
GGUCAAUGGGCGGGAGCCUGAACCAGCCAAGUCGCGUGAGGGAAGACGGUCCUAUGGAUUGUAAACCUCUUUUGUCGGGGAGCAAAGAGGCCACGUGUGGUCAAAAGCGAGAGUACCCGAAGAAAAAGCAUCGGCUAACUCCGUCGCC